UACGUAGGGUGCAAGCGUUUGUCCGGAAUUAUUGGGCGUAAAGAGCUCGUAGGCGGUCUGUUGCGUCGGCUGUGAAAACCCGGGGCUCAACCCCGGGCCUGCAGCCGAUACGGGCAGACUAGAGUUCGGCAGGGGAGACUGGAAUUCCUGGUGUAGCGGUGAAAUGCGCAGAUAUCAGGAGGAACACCGGUGGCGAAGGCGGGUCUCUGGGCCGAUACUGACGUGGAGGAGCGAAAGCGUGGGGAGCGAACAGG
rnacentral:rRNA from 1 species